UCAAGAGGAUUUACUUUUCAUGGAAUCUCUUGUCCGAUACAAACUCGUUCUGAUUAUGAUGGUAGUUGAACGACAUCCAUAUUGAGGAUGAUUAACAAUAAUCGGUGUAUGCAUCACGAGGCAAACUUGUAAUUACCUUUAUCUCAGAUUCAUGCAAGUAGUACUUAAGGAUUACUACUAAACGAUUGCAGACAAGUACUACCCGAUGAUUACUACUAAUUUGAUUUGUGGCAUCACACGACGAUUUACUACUAAAUGAGAGUAAACAAUUACGUAUAAGUACUACAUGAAGAUUACUACCAAUUUUUGUGGCUUCGAAUGAUGACUAUUACUACUUGUACUAUAAACCGGGAUACCCAAACCAGG
rnacentral:lncRNA from 1 species